CACCUGAUUGAUUUUGGUCGCCAACGAGUGGCGGACGGGUGAGUAACACGUAGGUAACCUGCCCAGAAGCGGGGGACAACAUUUGGAAACAGAUGCUAAUACCGCAUAACAACGUUGUUCGCAUGAACAACGCUUAAAAGAUGGCUUCUCGCUAUCACUUCUGGAUGGACUGCGGUGCAUUAGCUUGUUGGUGGGGUAAUGGCCUACCAAGGGCGAUGAUGCAUAGCCGAGUUGAGAGACUGAUCGGCCACAAUGGGACUGAGACACGGCCCAUACUCCUACGGGAGGCAGCAGUAGGGAAUCUUCCACAAUGGGCGCAAGCCUGAUGGAGCAACACCGCGUGAGUGAAGAAGGGUUUCGGCUCGUAAAGCUCUGUUGUUAAAGAAGAACACGUAUGAGAGUAACUGUUCAUACGUUGACGGUAUUUAACCAGAAAGUCACGGCUAACUACGUGCCAGCAGCCGCGGUAAUACGUAGGUGGCAAGCGUUAUCCGGAUUUAUUGGGCGUAAAGAGAGUGCAGGCGGUUUUCUAAGUCUGAUGUGAAAGCCUUCGGCUUAACCGGAGAAGUGCAUCGGAAACUGGAUAACUUGAGUGCAGAAGAGGGUAGUGGAACUCCAUGUGUAGCGGUGGAAUGCGUAGAUAUAUGGAAGAACACCAGUGGCGAAGGCGGCUACCUGGUCUGCAACUGACGCUGAGACUCGAAAGCAUGGGUAGCGAACAGGAUUAGAUACCCUGGUAGUCCAUGCCGUAAACGAUGAGUGCUAGGUGUUGGAGGGUUUCCGCCCUUCAGUGCCGGAGCUAACGCAUUAAGCACUCCGCCUGGGGAGUACGACCGCAAGGUUGAAACUCAAAGGAAUUGACGGGGGCCCGCACAAGCGGUGGAGCAUGUGGUUUAAUUCGAAGCUACGCGAAGAACCUUACCAGGUCUUGACAUCUUGCGCCAACCCUAGAGAUAGGGCGUUUCCUUCGGGAACGCAAUGACAGGUGGUGCAUGGUCGUCGUCAGCUCG
rnacentral:rRNA from 2 species